rnacentral:rRNA from 1 species
GAUGAACGCUGGCGGCGUGCCUAAUACAUGCAAGUCGAGCGAACGUACGAGAAGCCUUCUUCUCUGAUAUUUUCGCCGGACGGGGGAGUAACACAUGGAUAACCUACCUAUAAUACUGGGAUAACUUCGGGGAACAGGAGCUAUAAUAGGGUAUUACAUUAUACCGCAUGGUUCAAAAAUUUAAGACUUUCUUGUUCUCACACUUAGAUAUAUCCGCGCUGCAUUAGCUAGUUGGUAAGGUAACGGCUUACCAAGGCAACGAUGCAUAGCCGACCUGAGAGGGUGAUCGGCCACACUGGAACUGAGACACGGUCCAGACUCCUACGGGAGGCAGCAGUAGGGAAUCUUCCGCAAUGGGCGAAAGCCUGACGGAGCAACGCCGCGUGAGUGAUGAAGGUCUUCGGAUCGUAAAACUCUGUUAUUAGGGAAGAAUAUAUGUGUAAGUACUUUAGCAGAACUAGACGGUACCUAAUCAGAAAGCCACGGCUAACUACGUG